UCUCGCUUCUGCCCCUCCGCGGGCGCCAUAUUCCAAACUUGCUGGGCCCCAGCCUGACGUGACAAGCUCCCUCCCCGGAGUGAAGAUACAAUGAGUGGAGACCCAUGGCCUGCGCCAUGCCACAGUGCGGCUCCCCACGGAGGAGGACUCCAUAGUAGGCUGAAGCCAUCGGGCCUCCCGGGAGCCUGUUUGGCAGCCUAAGAACUUUCCAGGCUCAUUUCAGCAGCGUGUGGACAGAGCCCCACAGGGAAACCCACGCACGAGAGCUGGAUCCUGUUCCCGUCUGGCCCUGAGGUUGAUUCCAUAGAUGACUGUGAAAACAGAUGGGGAGAGAACAGUCAGCUCGUUCUUACCACAGAAGCGAGAAGACUUACUUUCUCCCCCCUUGAGAACUGUCAUCCGGAGAUGGGAAUUCCCAUCCGUCUUCUGCUAAUUCUCUUGUUCUGUGGCCUUACGCAAGUCACUUGGCUUCUCUGUAGCUCAGUUUCCUCUCCCGCGGAAGGAGAGUUGGUGGUCUGAACUUGACUCUAGGUCAGUGAGGCUGAAGCCCGCCCUUUACAACCAGCUGGGGGAAGUUUUGUCAGCCAGCCUCUGUGCCAGGCCUAUGACACGAGAAUGUGUGGGAGGCAGACCCAGGUGAUGCCCAGGCCUUGGGGAGGAGGUGGGGGGGAUCCUGGAGUGGAUGGCUCCCCCCUCGUCUCUCAGCCCUGACUCCCCAUGCCCAUCCCUGUCCUAUGAGCCACAGCUUCUUUUCCUGACUCAAGGAUGGAUGUGCUUAAGCCCCAAGCCCCCGAGAGGGAGCUUUCUCAUCCUGCUUCCGUGGGCAUCCUCUGGGGACAGGCCCUGAGGACAUCUGAAGGCCUCUGUCAAGAGAUGGUGACAACAAAGCUCUGUACUUAAGAGUUUCCAAAAGGGAGAAUUCCUGCCAGUCAUAAAUUACCCCCUCUGACGCUGAUGAUUUUUCUGUUGUUAGGGAUGAUUAUUUGCAUGGAGGCAGGAAGCAUGGCCCCGCUGUUCUUUCUCUGCUGGCUGAGAAGCAGGACAUCUGCCAAACCCCGAGUCACCUCGCUUCGGAAGGACUGUGAGAACAAUGCAGGAGGAGUGGCCAUGGCCACCAGAAGACAUGACACCAUGUGCAGACAAGGACGACAAGUUAGUGAAACAGUCUUCACAGAAAAGGGGAACACAGGCUGAUACCAACGUGGGAACACUUGGCGGAGAGCGUUCUCACCUGCUGCCAGGUGAGUGCAGCCAGGUUGGCGACAUCUCCCAACUCUGCUGAAGGGGAUACCCCACCUCCUGGUACCACCACCACCACCACCACCACCACCACGCAACCCUCCCUCUUGCUGGCGAGGAGCGGCCAGGCAGCCCUGAAGACCCAGAAAUGCCAGAAGCGGGACGCCAGGCAGCAAGCAGCCUAUCUGUGUGCACUUGAUGCAGAGGUCAGAAUGAAGUGGUCACAAUGGUAAGAUCUAAGACCUGCUGCUAAGUCAGAAUCACAUGCGAAUUACGGCAUUUGUAGAAAAAGCAAAACCAACGUAAUGUAAAUAAACACACAGAGCAACGGAAAGGAUCUGGAAAAAUUUGAACUCUUGUGUUGGUGUGGACGUAGGACCGGGGACGGGAGCCGAACAAGCUGGGUUUGAAAUAAAUGAGAUCUGAAAUAAAUGUAGACACACACAUAUCUAUAGUGAUGAGACCGUAUCUGUGUAACGCUCGCCUCAUUAAAAUGAAAAACACGAACACAUCACCAGCUUAAAACGAAGCUCGGCCCGUCUCACGUUCCCAGCAUUUAUUUCAGAGAACUGAUUAUAGAAUGGCUUGCUCUGGAUUUUAUAGCCUAGACCCCG
rnacentral:lncRNA from 1 species